UCCCAACAGCAGACGACUACUCCAUAAGCCUUGGAGCUGCUGCAACCAUUUGCGGUGUUGUGAUUGGGGGAAUGGCAGUUGCACAGGUUUUGUUAGUGCCAGUGCCCUUGGAAUGGCAUGUGGUCCUGCUCUCGCUUGCUUACUCCAAACGCAAUUUAAGCUCUUCAAUAUUACAUUUAACGAAAACACUUUGCCCGGAUGGGUUAUGGCUCUGGCAUGGCUCAUCUACUUACUGUGGUUGUGGAUUUCAUUCAGAGAGCCAUCUUCUUAUGAGGCUGAAGAUAGUGUUGCAUCACAGGACGCGAAAACUGGUAUGGUAAUUGGAUUGGUCAUUUUGGACCCCACACACUGCAUUGCGGUAUGUCUAUUAAUAUUUUUGAUGAUUCAGCUUAUGCUAUGCUGUUUUCAAACUUUGAGAGCAUCUUUAUCAUAUGCAUUACUCAGUUGAACUAAGGUGCAUCUUAAGGCAGGGCAUAUUUGAGAGCAUUUUUAUUUAAUGGAAAAAGAACAAUGAUGUCAAGCCUUAUACUGCAAAUUUAAUGCAAAUUUAACUAUUUUGAAAUUUCAGUUUGAUGUAAAAGCUCCUUGCUCUCAUUCUUUAUUUUGAGUAUAAUUGUAUGCAUUGUUGUUUGUCCCUAUAUACGAUGAGCAUAUAUAAUUUUAUUUUACCAUUCUCUGUUCUUAUUUUGGCCUUUUUCAUAUCAAAGCUAUCCCACUUAUAGAUUGUGUUCAAAUUUUUUCGAACUUCAUAUAUGUUAAAAGUUCUAUAUCUCAAAAUUCAGCAGGUUGACCAAACAGUAGUUUCCAGAUGUUGAGAAUGAGGGUGCUUCCAAAUGUUGUGUUGAGCGCUAGUCCUGUUCAAUACGUAAGUGUGUUAUUUUUUCACGUUAAUAUAAUUAAUAGGAUGGUUAAAGUGAUAGUCCAUUAAAUUACCAUUAUAGUUUGUUGCUUUUAAUCUUAUUCCAAUCACAAUUGGAAAUUGACUUGGCAUGUUGGAAAUUGCAGUUCCCUUGUUUGGCUCGAAUUGCUCCCACAAUGUCAAUAUUAUAUGUUUAAUGCUGCAAGUAAGAUUUGUUAGAGUUUGAAUAGAAUACUGUAAUGAUUUGUGAAUGAGUUGGUUUGGGGCUUACUCUUUAUCUAUGAUAACAGCCUCUUGCAAGAAAGACUCAGUGCAAGCAUUAUCGUGGACACUUUUAACUUUGAUUUUGCAAGUUGGUGCAACUUGUAGGACCACAAAUAACACAUCUGCAAGUAAUAACAGUACAGUCACUACAGGAAAAUGGGGAUUUGAUGGCGUUUUGUUAACGACGUUUCUGUAAACGUCACUGUUAUUAGUAUUUAACGGCGUUUUAUAAACGCCGCAUAUUCUAUUAAGAAAAACGACACCGUUUUAUAAUGGAAACGCCUCCGAAUGUGGUAAACUACACGCGCCCUUUUAGUGAAAACCUUAUGUUGAAUCAGAGCCUUAAUACAUACGCACAGAUCUCUCAACCCUUGAUACAUAGGCACAGAUUGACAUGCUGACAUGGCGAUAAAACUUGUAAUGCCAAAAAACUGUAUACCUUCCAAUGUAUCUUAGGGACUUUGGUGAUGAACCAUCCUUAGGGAACUUGCUAUUUUCAACAUACCUGAAAUUAAAUGAAUAUAAGAAAAUUUAUUAGCCUUUUAAAGGUAAUAGAAAGAUGACAAUUGCCAAAUUUAGCUACAUUUACUUUGUGGUUGGUUCAUCCCAAUACUGGGCAUUUCCUUCAUUUGUUGAAUAGAUCUUUCCUUUCUUUGGAACCUGUUCGUAGAUGCAGUAAUGAAGCAUGAUUAAUGGAUCACACAGGCGAAGCACAGAGGACAGACCUAAUGACGAUUACUAGACAUGUUCUUAAUGAGCAGUCGAAGCACCCUGAAGCUCACGGCGACUUCACAAUCUUGCAGGAUGAAGCCUUCACAUCUGUUUCAUUUGCCCUAUGAGGCAAAGUGAGAAUGUCUCCCAGCAUCUUAUCAAUUCAUGGUGUGGCUCUUCCCUAUGAGGCUGGUGAAAUCGAUUUCGGUGAACCAGGAACAAAUGGUCAGCAUAGCUUUUACCAAUUAAUUCACCAGUUGCUGGCAUUCUAUGAACACAGAAUUGCUGUUGAAGGCUUCAUUUGGGGUAUCAACUCCUUUGACCAGUGGGGAGUUGAGUUAGGAAAGGUAUGUGUUACUUAAAGACUACGAUAGAUCACAUCUGUUUCAUUUUUCAGGGUGAAGAACAGAAGAAAUUGGAUGUACUGUCAAAUGAUGUUUUUGUCAAGGCUUUGAUAAGCAGUGGAUGCACUGUGAGUUUUUAAUUUCAUUUGCUUUCUUCUUUCUAUAUCAUCUUUAAGAUUGGAUUAUUGCCUUGUUGGUGCUCAAAGAAAAGCCCCAAUUGGUUGGGGCUGAUGAGAAUCUAUAUUAUUCACAAACACCAAUAGAAUCCCAUACAAACCAAAGAAGGCAAUUCGAAAGCUCCCUAGAGUCCAACAUCUCUAUGCCCCGAUUGACGGGGAGGUUGAGAAGUGAAGAUGAUGAGGUAAAGUUCAACAUGUCAAGUAAGUAAGUUUAGCUUUUAUUUUAAUAAAUAAGAUUUCCAGUUCAGAAUUUAUCUGUACCGUCUUCUGUAUCGGAAACCUGUUACGUAACCAU